GAAGUUUUUUCAUGCAAAAGCUGAGUCAAUGGAAGGUAGGCUCAUGGAUUGCAUAAUUCUCCAACUAGAUUUUGGCAGCAUUUCAGGAUUUCGACAUUAUGGUCAGGCUAUAUUUAAGCCACCAAAAGCAAUGCGAGGAGGAAUCCCGAUUUGUUUCCCGCAAUGGAUCACUGAAGCAACAUGGGUUUGCAAGGAACAAGAUUUAGACCAUUGAUGAUGAUCCUCCACCUCUUCAUCCUGCUAAGUACAUUGGUAAAUCUUCUCUAGACUUGCUACUGAAACCAUCUGAAGAGGAUCUGAAGUGCUGGCCCCACUGUUUUGAGUUCCGUCUUAGAGUGGCUUUUGCGUUGAAUGGAGAUCUCACCAUGAUAUCACGGAUUAGGAACCUCGACAGCAAGCCAUUUAGUUUCUCCUUUGCUUUCCACACAUAUUUCUCCAUUUCUAU